rnacentral:rRNA from 1 species
GACGAACGCUGGCGGCGUGCUUAACACAUGCAAGUCGAACGGAAAGGCCCCUUUGGGGGUACUCGAGUGGCGAACGGGUGAGUAACACGUGAGUAACCUGCCCUUGACUUCGGGAUAACUUCAGGAAACUGGGGCUAAUACCGGAUAGGAAUCCUUGCUGCAUGGUGGGGGUUGGAAAGCUUCGGCGGGUUUGGAUGGACUCGCGGCUUAUCAGCUUGUUGGGGGGGUAGUGGCUUACCAAGGCUUUGACGGGUAGCCGGCCUGAGAGGGCGACCGGCCACAUUGGGACUGAGAGGCGGCCCAGGCUCCUACGGGAGGCAGAAGGGGGGAAUAUUGCACAAUGGGCGGAAGCCUGAUGCAGAAACGCCGCGGGCGGGAUGACGGCCUUCGGGUUGUAAACCGCUUUCAGCAGGGGCGAAGCUUGUGGUGACGGUACCUGCAGAAGAAGCACCGGCUAACUACGUG